ACCAAUAAGAAAAUCAAAAAUCUCAAAAGCUCUCUUCUCUUCCUAAUUCUCUCAAACCUCCAUUGGAGGAAAGCUCAACCUCAAGCUAGAAGAUGAAUCUUUGAACGAUUUCUUCUCCAAUUUCAUGGGUAUUCAAUCAAUAAGGUUUAGUGAUCCUUCAUCAUUAGUUAUUCAUUUAUCUAAGGAGUUUCUCCAAAGGUUUUCAAAGAAGAUUUCAUGAUGAAAAUUGCAAUUUUUCAAUCUAGCCACUGGUUCUUAUUCAAAUUGAUUUCAAAAGUAUGUUAUUGAUAAAUUUAUGAUUAUUUCAAUCCAUUUUCAUGAUGAACCCAUGAUCCUCCUAAUUUCUCAAAUUGGCCUAAAUGUGGGUCUUGUGAUCUUGAUGAUUGGAUUAUGUUUAGAUUGUAAUGAACUUGUUAAUUCAAUAUUCCUUUAUGUCAAUUGAUUAUGAAUUUUUUUGAAUUGAUCAAGAUGAUCAUUAAGUUGAAGAUUUUAUAAGUUCACCUAUUUCUUCUAAUUAGCUUAAAAUGUACAUUAAAUUUUGAUGAUUGGUAUGGUCCACUUAUGGUAGCGUUGUUUACAUUUUUGUACAUGUUUAUGUGUUAUGAUCAUGGAAUUGAAGGAAUUAGAUGCAAGAUGAAUUGAUAUGAUGAAUUCCAUGUUUAGGAAGUUUAAGGAUUUAGCCUUGAUUCUAAUAUCAUGUUCUAACUUCAUUGAUAUUAUGUGGAGUAUGUGAAUAGUGUUCAACACUAGUUGCAUGAUAUAAGUGUGUGGAUGAUGUUAACUAUAUGUGAUGAUCAUGUCAGAGUUGGAUGUGGUCUAGAUGGAUAAUGAUGAUGAAUAUCCUUGUAGCAUGACCAACCUGUACGAACCAUAUAUGAAUGUGUGAGCAAAGUAUGUUAGAAGUCUUCUAUCCUAACGAUUGAAUAUGUUCUUUUCUCCUAUGAUGUAAUGUGAGUUUGUGUAGUUAUAGUCCUUAUUAAUCUAUAUGUGUGUAUGACUUGAGACUUGAGGAAUGUUGUACAUGUGUUGUGAUCUUUAGAGGAUGACCUUCUCAAGUUUAUGUUAUAGCAAUUAUGUGAUCAUGUUGACCAAUAUACACACACACACUUCAUGAAUGACUAUGAAUAGGGUAGAUUCACGAUGAUUAAGAAAAGAAUAGUUAUUCUAUGCAUCAUUACCUAUUUCUAUGCAUGUGAAGUAUAUGAUUAAUGAAGUUAUAAGCAUGUGUGAUUAGAUUAUCCUAUCCUAACACAUUUUGUAUCCUUCAUUUAAUUUUGUGCAUUACUUGAGGUUGGCCUCAUUGUUUAUUUUGGAACUUUAACCUUCAUUGACAUAGAUCAUGUGAGCAUCAUGAAAUCCAUUAUUUCACCACACACCGAAAAGAGGUGGAAUCACCGGCUAAAGUGAACAAAAAUAUGCUAGCGUAUAUAGGGAAUCGAACCUUGCUAGAACCCUAUAUUGGAAGUAUAGGUUCAAAGACUAGGAGAUAUAAGAAGAACCAUACCCGUCUAGAUGGUCAGUCUCAUCUCAUGAGAAUUACAGUAACCUCUGCCUUCCCGAAAGAAGGAAUCACGACGCAUAACUCAAGAAACUCCUAAUAUCAGUUGGAGAUGUGGGUCUAAGACAACUUUGAACUACUUAUAUCUUUUGGGUGUCAUCUCUAAUUCCUUCUCCAGAUACUAUGUUCCCUAAGAACCACAGAUUCAAUCCAAACUCACAUUUAGAGAACUUGACAUACAUCUCUUUAUCCUUCAAAGUCUCAUGACUAUUCUGAGCCAGAUAAUGAUGACUUUAGUUUGUAACUAACUCUAUUUUAGUGAUGGACAUAAGUUUGUUGAACUUGCUAGUGUUGUUGUGAUGUUGUCUUGACAAAUUCUUUCAUUUUUUUUAGAUUUUUCUUGUAGUGGGACUGAAUCUAGUAUAAUUGAUAUAUAGUUGCAGCUUGUAAGUUCAACUAUCAACUAGUGAUGUGUGGUAACGAGUAAGUAAAGAACUUAUUUAUAUAACUUACUUGAUAGUUUUAUAUAUUCUAUUAUGAAAUGUAGAUCAUUUGUCUAAACAGUUGUUUUUCUCGCAGGUCCAUCAAUGUUUUAUUAUUUUCUUGGUUGCUAUCUGCUAGAACUUGGAAUCUAUUGCAAUGGAGGUUGCAAGUUGCAACAAUGUUUUGUUGGUUUUCUAAAUCUCUUUUGUUGCUGGAAGUUGUAAUGAGCCAGAUAAUGAUUACACUUUCAAUGAUUUUAAUUACUUAAAAUGAUUUCUAAGAACCUAUAAACCAUCAAAGAACAC
rnacentral:lncRNA from 1 species